rnacentral:rRNA from 1 species
GACGAACGCUGGCGGCGUGCUUAACACAUGCAAGUCGAACGAAGUGGCGAACGGGUGAGUAAUACGUGGGUAACCUGCCCACCUUUUUGGGAUAAGCCUUGGAAACGGGGUCUAAUACCGAAUAAAGGGGGAUGGGCUCGGGGCCUAUCAGCUUGUUGGUGGGGUGAUGGCCUACCAAGGCGGUGACGGGUAGCCGGCCUGAGAGGGUGACCGGCCAAAUUGGGACUGGGAUACGGCCCAGACUCCUACGGGAGGCAGCAGUGGGGGAUAUUGCACGAUGGUCGAAGGCCUGAUGCCGCGACGCCGCGUGGGGGAUGAAGGCUUUGGGGUCGUAAACCUUUUUCGCGAGCGAAAGGGUAGGUGGACAGGAAGCGCCGGCUAACUACGUGCCAGCAGCCGCGGUAAUAC